rnacentral:rRNA from 1 species
UACGGAGGGGGCAAGCGUUGUCCGGACUUACUGGGCGUAAAGGGUGCGUAGGCGGUCUUGUGCGUCGGUGCUGAAAGCGCCCGGCUUAACCGGGCGAGGCGUGCCGAUACGAUAAGACUUGAGGGGCAGCGAGGGUGGCGGAACUCCUGGUGUAGUGGUGAAAUGCGUAGAUAUCAGGAGGAACACCGGCGGUGUAGACGGCUUUCUGGACCGUAGCUGACGCUGAGACACGAAAGCGUGGGUAGCAAACAGG